CCGCCGGCGACCGGCGCACGGGUGAGUAACACGUAUGCAACCUGGCCGUGACAGAUGGAUAACCGGGAGAAACCCCGCCUAAUACAGCAUGACGCCGGGAAGGGACAUCCCUUUCCGGCCAAAGGGGGCGACUCCGGUCACGGAUGGGCAUGCGGCGCAUUAGGUAGUUGGUGGGGCAACGGCCCACCAAGCCGACGAUGCGUAGGGGUUCUGAGAGGAAGGUCCCCUACAUUGGAACUGAGACACGGUCCAAACUCCUACGGAAGGCAGCAG
rnacentral:rRNA from 1 species